rnacentral:rRNA from 1 species
CACGUAGGCACCAAGCGUUGUCCGGAUUUAUUGGGCGUAAAGAGCUCGUAGGCGGUUCGGUAAGUCGGGUGUGAAAACUCUGGGCUCAACCCAGAGCCGCCACCCGAUACUGCUGUGACUUGAGUUCGGUAGGGGAGCGCGGAAUUCCAGGUGUAGCGGUGAAAUGCGUAGAUAUCUGGAGGAAUACCGGUGGCGAAGGCGGCAUCCUGGACCGGCAUUGACGCUGAGGAGCGAAAGCCAGGGGAGCAAAGCGGG